GAUUACCUGCAAUGAUGAAAUGAAGUAACUCAAGAUGAGCAAGUUAAAAGUGGUAUCAGAGAAAAGCCUUACCAAUAAUUCUUGGAUUGUGGGACUCCUGGCUCAGCUGGAGCAAAUAAACACUAAAUCAGCAGAAUCGGAUACUGCCAGAUAUGUCACAUCAAAGAUUCUUCAUCUUGCUCAAAGUCAAGGUGGAGAGUCACAGAGAGGCAGAGGCAGAGAGAGAGAAGUCUUCACUCCCCAAAUGGCCACAAUGGCCAGAGCUGUGCAAAUCUGAAGCCAGGAACCAGGAGAUUCUUCCUGGUCUCCCACAUGCAUGCAGAGGCCCAAGGACUUCAAGGCUCAUUCUUGUUGUAGCAUUCAUCAAUGUUCCCUUUUUAUGGCUGAAUUAUGGGUCAUUGUAAGUAUGUGCCACACUUUCCUUAUCCAUUCAUCAGUGGAUGGACAUUUGUGUGGUUUCCACAUUUGGCUGCUGUGAAUGCUGUUGCUGUGAAUAUUUAUGUGCCAUUUCUGUGUGCAUAAUUUUUAAUCUCUCUUGUGUAUAAUGCCUAGGAGAAAAAUUGCUGGCUUAAAUGGCAACUCUGUGUUUAAUAUUUUAAGGAACUGUCAAACUGUUUUCCAAAACACACCGUUUUCAUUCUCUUUAGCA